rnacentral:rRNA from 1 species
UACGGGGGGGGCAAGCGUUGUUCGGAAUUACUGGGCGUAAAGGGGUUGUAGGCGGCCAACUAAGUCCGACGUGAAAUCCCAAGGCUUAACCUUGGAACUGCGUCGGAUACUGGAUGGCUUGAAUUCGGGAGAGGGAUGCAGAAUUCCAGGUGUAGCGGUGAAAUGCGUAGAUAUCAGAAGGAACAUCAGUGGCGAAAGCGACUUCCUGGACCAGAACAUGACGAGUCAGGCACGGAAAGCGUGGGGAGCAAACAGGA